rnacentral:rRNA from 1 species
GGUUAAGCGACUAAGCGUACACGGUGGAUGCCCUGGCAGUCAGAGGCGAUGAAGGACGUGCUAAUCUGCGAAAAGCGCCGGCGAGGUGAUAUGAACCCUUGACCCGGCGAUGUCCGAAUGGGGAAACCCAGUGCAAUCCGUUGCACUAUCGUUAACUGAAUACAUAGGUUAACGAGGCGAACCGGGGGAACUGAAACAUCUAAGUACCC